GAUGAACGCUAGCGGCAGGCUUAAUACAUGCAAGUCGAGGGACAGCACAGGUAGCAAUACUGGGUGGUAACCGGCAAACGGGUGCGGAACACGUACACAACCUUCCUUUAAGUGGGGGAUAGCCCAGAGAAAUUUGGAUUAAUACCCCGUAAUAUAGUUGAAUGGCAUCAUUUGAUUAUUAUAGCUACGGCGCUUAAUGAUGGGUGUGCGGCUGAUUAGAUAGUUGGCGGGGUAACGGCCCACCAAGUCUACGAUCAGUAGCUGAUGUGAGAGCAUGAUCAGCCAAACGGGCACUGAGACACGGGCCCGACUCCUACGGGAGGCAGCAGUAAGGAAUAUUGGUCAAUGGACGCAAGUCUGAACCAGCCAUGCCGCGUGAAGGAUUAAGGUCCUCUGGGUUGUAAACUUCUUUUAUUUGGGACGAAAAAGGGCCUUUCUAGGUCAACUGACGGUACCAGAUGAAUAAGCACCGGCUAACUCCGUGCCAGCCGCCGCCGUAACAC
rnacentral:rRNA from 1 species